rnacentral:rRNA from 1 species
UACGUAGGGGGCAAGCGUUGUCCGGAAUCAUUGGGCGUAAAGCGCGUGUAGGCGGCCCGGUAAGUCCGCUGUGAAAGUCGGGGGCUCAACCCUCGAAUGCCGGUGGAUACUGUCGGGCUAGAGUGCGGGAGAGGCGAGUGGAAUUCCUGGUGUAGCGGUGAAAUGCGCAGAUAUCAGGAGGAACACCAAUUGCGAAGGCAGCUCGCUGGAACGUAACUGACGCUGAGACGCGAAAGCUGGGGGAGCAAACGGG